rnacentral:lncRNA from 1 species
UGUUUAAUAUUUAGUAUUUCACAGUUCUUAGCAGUGCAGUACGGGAUACAAUCACGAUUUGAACUAAUUUUUUAUUCUUUAGUAAUAUUCCUUGUUGUCGAGUCCAAAAUACCAAACAUGUCAUAAAAGUAUGGAAAAGUUCCUUGUUGAAAGAGUACUGCUCGUUAAAUUCUGGACUUACUGGUGACUGAGGUUCAUUUGUAACUGAUUGCCUCUCAGCAAAUGAAUAUCUUUCAUACUUCUCAAGGAUGCUGUCCAUGC